CUCCUUUCUAUCUAUGUCACACUGCAGCGAAAGGUGUGGGUGUGACACACGGCCCACCUGUCGAGAUGAACCACGUCAAGUCGGCUCUUCUCUCAGGCCACCGCCCGCACCGUCUCGCGGCGGCGGCGCCGCAGCAGCUGGCGGCCACCGCGUCGUUCCAUUCCACGCCUCCCCUGCAGCGGAAGCGCAAGAACCAGUGGCACCACAGGUUCAGUUAUUAUGCAAAACGCAGGAGAAAUAGAGACACGAAAAGAACGAUGAUACGGAAUAUCUCUGAGUAUGCUGAGAGCCUCUUCGAUAGUUGGCGUGAUGAAGAUGAGAAAAAAGAGGCAUCUAGUGGACCUUCAUGGUUUAGAGGACACCGUUGGGUCAGGGAUUCAAGGAAUAAUGGUUUCCGUCCCCAUGUGUUUUAUAACGAUACUGUCAAAAGCAGGGGGGGAUUUGACUUUUGCACAAGCGAUGAUGAUGAUGAACCAGAGACUGUUUUUUCGCGAUGCUUUUCGUGGGAACCAGCACACGUAUUAUUGGUCUUUUGAAUCUGAUGAUUUUCAAAGGAGGAAUUCAAGGCGUUCUCAUUCAGAAAGUUCUGGACACUGGAGUUAUGAAACAGACGACGAGGACGAAAUAUCCACCCACACAGAGGUAUCUGUGGCGCGUCAGGCUCUUGGAUUGCGUACUUCUGGCCCACUAAAACUUGAAGAUGUUAAAAGCGCAUACCGGACGUGCGCACUUAGAUGGCAUCCAGAUCGUCAUCAUGGCUCAUCGAAGGCUACCGCAGAGGAGAAAUUCAAACGUUGCAGUGCAGCAUACCAGACUCUGUGUGAUAGUUUGGCUACUGCGUAAUAAUGUGAUAAGAAUAGCCGAGCUACAUUAGUCCCUUCCACCAGCAGACAUGAACUUCAUAACUGCAAAUUCUGGAGGCCUACCACUUGCGGACCGACUUCAUAUCUGCAAAUUCUGCUGGGCACACAAGCUGAAAUGCCAAAAAUUGCUUGGCUUCUAAAGGAAUGGGCCCAAGCCAAAAUUCACCAGAUAAUGUCAAAGUACUGUACCAUGUAUCAUCUCUUAACUAGUCAUUGCUUUCUUUUAGAGAUAGGACAUUAUUUAUACCACUCAGGAUUUUUUGUUGGCCUAUCUCACCCCAAUUUAGUCAGUUUAAUUGAA